rnacentral:rRNA from 1 species
AGUGAACGCUGGCGGCAGGCCUAACACAUGCAAGUCGAACGGCUGCAGAGUGAGUGCUCGUGGAUUCAGGGGCGGACGGGUGAGUGGUGGCUAGAAAUCUGGCUAUCUGCGGUUUCUUGCGGGAUGACACGGGCACACAUACCGCAAUAGUGCUGACGGCGAACGUGUGGGAUCUUGGGACCUUCCGCUCUCGGGUGAGCGGAGGUCGGAUUGGCUAGUUGGUGGGGUAAAGGCGUACCAAGGCGACGAUCCGUAGCUGGUCUGAGAGGAUGAUCAGCCACACUGGAACUGAGACACGGUCCAGACUCCUACGGGAGGCAGCAGUGGGGAAUAUUGGACAAUGGGCGAAAGCCUGAUCCAGCCAUGCCGCGUGGGUGAAGAAGGUCUUCGGAUUGUAAAGCACUUUUGGUGGGGAGGAAGGGCAGUAAGUUAAUACCUUGCUGUUUUGACGGUACCAACAGAAUAAGCACCGGCUAACUUCGUG